CCCUUAGAUGUCCUGGGCCGCACGCGCGCUACACUGAGUGUCUGAGAUACGAGUCUGCCUGGUCCGGCAAGGUCUAGGUAAUCGCUAAAAGACACAUCAUGCUUGGGAUAGAUUAUUGCAAAUAUUAAUCUUGAACGAGGAAUUCCUAGUAAGCGCAAGUCAACAGCUUGCGUUGAUUACGUCCCCGCCCUUUGUACACACCGCCCGUCGCUACUACUGAUUGGAUGUUUAAGCGAGGUUCUCGAACUGCUAGCGACUUAGCUUCGGUGAGGUCGCAGUGUGGGAAGUGAACCGAGCUUUGGUGUCUAGAGGAAGUAAAAGUCGUAACA
rnacentral:rRNA from 1 species